rnacentral:rRNA from 1 species
UACGUAGGGGGCUAGCGUUGUCCGGAAUUAUUGGGCGUAAAGCGCGCGCAGGUGGUUUCUUAAGUCUGAUGUGAAAGCCCACGGCUCAACCGUGGAGGGUCAUUGGAAACUGGGGAACUUGAGUGCAGAAGAGGAAAGUGGAAUUCCACGUGUAGCGGUGAAAUGCGUAGAGAUGUGGAGGAACACCAGUGGCGAAGGCGACUUUCUGGUCUGUAACUGACACUGAGGCGCGAAAGCGUGGGGAGCGAACAGG